GAAUGACUUUCCAGAUAUGGAUGUGAUCAGUAUUUCUGGCAAUUUCUGUUCGGACAAGAAACCGGCCGCCGUGAACUGGAUUGAGGGGAGAGGCAAAUCGGUGGUUUGUGAGGCAAUCAUCAAUGAGAAUAUUGUAAAGAAAGUCCUUAAGACCACUGUGCCGGCCCUUGUUGAACUCAACAUAAUCAAGAAUCUUGCAGGGUCGGCAGUGGCUGGUGCUCUCGGUGGAUUCAACGCCCAUGCCAGUAAUAUUGUCUCUGCCGUCUUCAUCGCCACCGGUCAAGAUCCUGCUCAGAAUGUGGAGAGCUCUCACUGUAUUACCAUGAUGGAAGCUGUGAAUGAUGGCAAGGAUCUUCACGUGUCGGUAACUAUGCCAUCUAUAGAGGUUGGUACAGUUGGGGGUGGGACCCAACUGGCAUCUCAGUCUGCUUGCUUGGACCUCCUCGGUGUGAAGGGUGCAAGCAUGGAGUCGCCUGGAGCCAAUGCAAGGCUCCUGGCCACUAUCAUAGCUGGUGCUGUUUUAGCUGGGGAGCUCUCUCUCAUGUCCGCCCUCGCGGCUGGUCAGCUUGUGAGGAGCCACAUGAAGUAUAACAGAUCCAGCAAAGACAUGUCUAAGGCUGUCUCUUGAGAUGCUCUCUCGUCGUCAACGUUGAUAAUUUAAUUUGUUUGUUGUUUGUUACGGUGAACUCGAG
rnacentral:misc_RNA from 1 species